rnacentral:lncRNA from 1 species
CUUCCAACUGAAAAUUAGUAAACGUCGUACGAUAUCUUCGCUGUUUUCGCUUUCCCAUUCCAGCCGCUGGCCUGUCAUCGCCUCCAGGACUUGGUGAGGAAAAGUCGUAUGCUGAAAAGCAUAUGUCGACAGACGUCAAAGGGAAGCAAACGGAGGAGGAUUGAGUGCCCAUCAGUCCAGCUAGAGUGGCCGAUUGCAGAUCACCAGAAUGUAUAUCAUCAUUUGUACCAUCAGCAGUGAUAAUAGAACCUGCUGAAACGAGAGGAUCUCGAGGAGUCCCAACCAAAAAUAACUGCCUGUUGUUAUCUUCGACAGAUUCUUCUUCUUUCAAAUCCAUUUUUAUCCAAGUCUUUUCAAUGGUAUAAUAUCAAUGAAUUUAUUGAAGCUAAUUUGAUUUGUAACUGACUUUUACUUCGCUGAGGCGAUGCCCCAAGUAGAAUAGGCUGUCGGUAAUUGAAUCACCCUGGGUUGAGAACAACGUUUCAACCCCCCGCUCAAACAACUCUGGGGCUCUACCUUUCUUUUUCUCUUUUAUUUUAUUUCCUGUGUAUAUGUAUAUUUUUUUUAUCCACUACUUACUUACACCUGUGCAAGGUAGACUGAGCAGGGGAUUGUAUUUUCAACGGGAACUCCAAGGGGGGUAACGAAGCCCUACUCGUGCCCCGCAUAUCGCUUUGCCUCAGCUCUACGAAUCAAUAAUACACAAGGCAAACAGACCGAAAUGUAUAUCUGGCUUUUACUUCAGUUUAAAGCAUGUCAAGAAAUAAAUUAAUACCAUCCCACAGAUUGAACAGCUUCACUGCAACCCAAAGGGGUGACGAAAAAUUGUUCAUUUCACCGGUGGCCAACCAGUGAUUACCAUUUUAAAGAACCUUGCAUUAUAAGCAAGUUCUCAAUUGAUUAAAUAUUUUAAAAUUUACUUUGAAGAGAAGGCUAGCAUUAUUAUAAAAGAAGCUAUUGAAUGCACUUGAGAUAAUGUCUGAAGCUUUGAUACAGGACUCAACUGACGAGAUGUUACUGUACUCACAGAAAAAUUCUUUGACUGUGGGGUAAAUAUUUGUUUACUUUGCAAUAAACUGUUGUAUGUUAUUGUUAUAAUACCGUUUAUUACUAAGUGCAGUGUAUCACAAUGUAUUUACAAAAAUAUGCCAACAGAGUUUCCAGUAUUAUUGGUUAUUUUAAAAAAUGCUUUGUGCUUGGAUAACUCAUAGCUGGUGCUGCUGAUAGUAAAGACUUAGAAGUACAUACGUUUAUAUACAAUUAAUUAAUAAUUAAAUAUGAUAAGUUGUAAAUCAAUAAAUACAGAAGCAUGUUUGAAUUUUAUUACAGCCAAUAAUACGCUAUUGUUUGUAAUAUUUUAAAGUUUCAUUCCAGUCGCGUUUUUGUGAAAGAAGU